AUCAGUGGCGACGGGUGGAGUAACACGUGGGCAACCUGCCCCUAGCUCUGGGAUAACUCCGGGGAAACCGGGGCUAAUACCGGAUAUGACCUCGGAGGACAUCCUCUGUGGUGGAAAGUUUUUCGGCUAGGGAUGGGCCCGCGGCCUAUCAGCUUGUUGGUGAGGUAACGGCCCACCAAGGCGACGACGGGUAGCCGGCCUGAGAGGGCGACCGGCCACACUGGGACUGAGACACGGCCCAG
rnacentral:rRNA from 1 species